rnacentral:ncRNA from 1 species
UGUCUUCAGGGCAGGGUGCGAGUCCCGACCGGUGGUAAUAGAUUUUCUUAAGCCCACGAACCGAAAGGUUGAUUUUGGUGUGAUUCCAAAGCCGACAGUACAGUCUGGAUGAGAGAAGA